AGUUUUGAGCUAAAUAUAUUUAUAAUAUUAGUUAUUUAUGAAGGUGUUGUAAAAUCUUUAUUUAAAAUUAUAUUUAGGGGUGACAGGCCUUUCAAAAACUAAGAUAUCUUGAAUCUAAUUAAAAGUAUGUAGUACAAUUAACACAACUAUUAAGUGAUUAGGCUUUAUAGAAUUAUUAACUUAUAAGAUUUUAUUUACUAUAAUUUAAUAAUUAAGUACAUAAAUAUAUUCAAUAUUCAUAUAUUAUAGUUUAUAAAAGAGUAAUUAGAUAGAUUUAAGUUCAUAUUUCUUAUAAUAAUGUUAAUAUUAGUAUUAAGUUUAUAUUUAUAUGAUGAACUCGGCAAAAAUACUUCUCAACUGUUUAUCAAAAACAUAACUAUGUGAAUGAAUACAUAGCGGUUUCUGCUCAA
rnacentral:rRNA from 1 species